rnacentral:rRNA from 1 species
UACGGGGGGAGCAAGCGUUGUUCGGAUUUACUGGGCGUAAAGGGCGCGUAGGCGGUCAGCACAAGUCAGUUGUGAAAUCUCCGGGCUUAACUCGGAAAGGUCAACUGAUACUGUGCGACUAGAGUGCAGAAGGGGCAACUGGAAUUCUCGGUGUAGCGGUGAAAUGCGUAGAUAUCGAGAGGAACACCUGCGGCGAAGGCGGCCCUCUGGCUCGACCCUGACGCUGAGAGGCGAAAGCGUGGGGAGCGAACGGG